rnacentral:rRNA from 1 species
CCUACGGGCGGCAGCAGUAGGGAAUAUUGGUCAAUGGGCGAAAGCCUGAAGCAGCAACGCCGCGUGGAGGAUGAUGGUUUUUGGAUUGUAAACUCCUUUUGUUAGAGAAGAUAAUGACGGUAUCUAACGAAUAAGCACCGGCUAACUCCGUGCCAGCAGCCGCGGUAAGACGGAGGGUGCAAGCGUUACUCGGAUUUACUGGGCGUAAAGGGCGCGUAGGCGGGAUGGCAAGUCAGAUGUGAAAUCCUAUGGCUUAACCAUAGAACUGCAUUUGAAACUGUUAUUCUAGAGUAUGGAUGAGGUAGGUGGAAUUCGUGGUGUAGCGGUAAAAUGCGUAGAGAUCAAGAGGAAUACUCAUUGCGAAGGCAACCUGCUAGAACAUAACUGACGCUGAUGCGCGAAAGCGUGGGUAGCAAACAGGAUUAGAUACCCUUGUAGUC